GCUGGGCAUGGUGGCUCACGCCUGUAAUCCCAGGGGCUUGGGAGGCUGAGGCAGGAGAAUCUCAAGUCAAAGCCACCCUCAGCAACAGCAAGGCUCUGAACAACUCAGUGAGACCAUGUUUCUA
rnacentral:sRNA from 1 species